rnacentral:rRNA from 1 species
GGGUUGUGAGGCUAAGCGACUAAGCGUACACGGUGGAUGCCCUGGCAGUCAGAGGCGAUGAAGGACGUGCUAAUCUGCGAAAAGCGUCGGUAAGGUGAUAUGAACCGUUAUAGCCGGCGAUGUCCGAAUGGGGAAACCC